GGAGGAAAAGAAAAUAACAAUGAUUCCUCUAGUAACUGCGAGUGAAGAGGGAAAAGCUCAAAUUUUAANUCUGUUAGGUUUACCUAACCGAGUUGUAAUUUGAAGAAGCGUUUUCUGCGAAUUUGGUUAGUCCAAAUCCUUUGGAAUAAGGUAUCAUGGAGGGUGAGAAUCCCGUUCGGUUAACCAAAGCGCUUUACGAUACGCUUUCAAAGAGUCAAGUUGUUUGGGAUUGCAGCUUAAAAUGGGAGGUAAAUUUCUCCUAAGGCUAAAUAUUGGCGAGAGACCGAUAGCGAACAAGUACCGUGAGGGAAAGAUGAAAAGAACUUUGAAAAGAGAGUUAAACAGUACGUGAAAUUGUUGAAAGGGAAACGAUUAAAGUCAGUCGUACCUACGAGUAAUCAACCUACUCGAGUGCGAUUUUGUGGGUAUGUUAGAGUUUAAACCUUCAUGCUUACAAAUUGGUGCUCUUUGGGCGUACUUUCUCGUAUGGUAGGUUAACAUCAAUUUCGAUCGUUAUAAAAUGACUGGAGGAAUGUAGCUUCGACCUCGGUUGAAGUGUUAUAGCCUUUGGUAGAUGUAAUGAUUGGGAUUGAGGAUUGCAACGGAUACCCUCUGGGCUAUUCGUCUGAUCUCUGGAAGUUACCUUGGUGUCGAAAGCGUGCUUACGAUAUUAAGGUUGACGGCCAAUAGGUUAGAACGUGAUUAAAUUCGUNAAGGAUGUUGACGUAAUGGCUUUAAACGACC
rnacentral:rRNA from 1 species